UCCCCGGUAAAAAACAAAUACAAAACAAAAAAGAAUGACAUGAUCAUCUCUUUUUUUCCCCUUAAAUAUAAAGAGGGAAUUAUAACGUAUGGGUUUUCUCUUUUAUUUUCACUUAGUAUUGCUGAGAUCUUUCCAACUCAGUGCAUUUUGACCAGAAUGUCAUAUUAUUUAUAAAUACCAUAUUAUUUAUACUUCAGAGCUUAUUAGAGAAAGCUUUCUUGGAGGAUACAACACUUGAGCUGGGCCAUACAGGCUAAGAUUUUGAUUUAUUUUAUUUAUUUAUUUAUUUAUUUUUGGUACCGGGGAUCAAACUCUAGACCUUGUGGUUGCAAGGCAGGCGCCGGAACCACUGAGCUAAAUCCCCGGCCCCAGAUUUUGAUUUAUUUAAGGGCAGAAAGUUGUUCCUGGCUGGAGUAAUAUGGUUGAGAGUUCUUAGUGAUAUAUUUUCAUGUGAUUCUUAAAACUACACUGUAACAGGGUUGGGGAUUUAGCUCAGUGGUUCCACCACCUGCUUCGCAGGCACAAGGUCCCGAGUUCGAUUCGCGGUACCAAAAAAAACAAAAAAACUACACUAACAUUUAGGUGUGAAACUCAGAUGAAAUGAUUUGCCAAGCAUCAUAAAGAGAGGAACUUUAUCUUAACUUUAAAUCCCAUUUCUUGCCACAACAUCCUGUUGUUUGUGCCGUAACCAAAGUGUAAACAUAUUGUAAUUUAUUAAGUAUAUAUAACACUCUUAAAAAGCAAAUGAUAUUUUCCUGUUUUAUUUAGAGAAGGAAACUGAGGCUUGAGAAAUUAAAUACCAGAGCCUUGAUUUAGACCUUGGUCGGUCUCCAAAAUCUCUGUUCCUACUAUUACAUCAUGUAAUAACGUGAUGGCAGGGAGGGAGGAAGGAUGAGAGUGGAUAUGGGUUAUGGCUCAGCCCACUCUGCAAGUGAAUGUCUGUGUCCCCACUCUAAAGCUCAUUCUUCUUUUUGCCAUCAUAUUCAUGAGCUCUUUGCCAUAGGUCUCCAGAGUUGAUGUCCUGGUUGUGGGAGAUGUAAUCACCUCUUGACACUGUGCUGAGGUCCAGACCCAAACAAGGAGCGGAGGCCAGCUUGCAGCUAAGUGUGGUGCAUCCCUGCAAUCCUGGCACUCUGGGAGGCUGAGGCAGGAGGAUCAUGAGUUUGAGCCCAAUAUGGGCAGGUAAGUGACUUAGAGCUUGUCUCAAAAUUUAAAAAAAAAUUUUUUUAAAGGGAUGGAGAUGUAUCUCAGUGCAAAAAUCCUAGUUUCAAUCCCCAGUACUAGUAUAUAUAUAUGUAUGUAUGUAUGUAUUUAUAUAUAUAUAUGUGUAUAUGUAUGUAUAUAAACAUAUUUAAUAAUAAUGUAUCAACUUUGGUUAUUUGUGACACAUUAUCUCACUAAUAUAAGAUGUUAAUGGAGAAUAUGGUGUGGGGUAUGGGAUAUAUGUGUGUCUAUUGUCUUCAUAACUUUUCUGAAAAUAUAAAAUUUCUAAAAUAAAAAAAUAUUUUAAAAAAUCAA